rnacentral:rRNA from 1 species
UGGGGAAUAUUGCGCAAUGGGCGAAAGCCUGACGCAGCGACGCCGCGUGGAGGAUGAAGGUCUUAGGAUUGUAAACUCCUGUUAAGUGGGAAGAAAAGUCUGUCAGUAAUAUGGACAGAUUAUGACGGUACCGCUAAAGAAAGCACCGGCUAACUUCGUGCCAGCAGCCGCGGUAAUACGAGGGGUGCAAGCGUUAUUCGGAUUUACUGGGCGUAAAGGGUGUGUAGACGGUUUACUAAGUCUGUUGUUA